GGGCCACCUGCUGUGUUCAGUCCACCAGUGCAAAUGCUAAGCUCUUCCAGAAACACCCUCACAGACACCCGGGAAGUCACGUACCCACUCUCCGGGUGCCCUGGGGCACAGGCAAGCUGACAAGCCGGUUACCCCUCAGAGCUCCUGCUGCCUCGCCUGCUUUCUCUCGGAAACGUGAAGUGUGGCCUCAGCUGAAAGUGAGGCUGCUCUCAUGGUGGUUCUAGAAGCUUCAUUUAAGCUAAGUGAUCCUUAUCAAGAAAAUAAAAAUGCAAUAGUUCAUUGUGACGAGUCUUCAAAAUCCAAUUUCCAUCUCCCACCCACUUCUCUCUCUCUACACGAGACUUUGAUACACAGAAGCUUUGAAGAAGAAAGCUGCCUGUUUCUCAGGGAUGGAAUUUCUUAAUCUGAGCUCCAUGUACAUCUUCCUACACACCUUAUGGAGGUGGGGGUGCAGUUAAGGAAGAGUGUCAUUGGGUGGAACAGUCGGAGGAUAAAGCUGGACUGAGAAAGCUUAAAGAGGAGGGACUUUGCAGCCAGACCUCUGAGGAGGGGCAGGGUUUCCAGCAGAGCCGGGGCUCAGAGCCAUCAAAACAUCCCUCUGAACAGUUAAAAAUAGGACUCUCUUGCAAACAUGGAAUGAACACUCCUCAAAGAUUAACUUACCUCCCUGAACAGGGAGCUGGCAGGCGAGUGAACCCAUUCAAAGGAGAAUUUGAGGAACAGGUGCUCACACCUUAAGCCAGGAAGGCGAACUGAAAUCGGGUUGCUACGUUAAAGGCAAAGCUGGUCGCUGUCCUCUGGGGCAAUGGAGUCAUCACCUGUGGGGUUAUCUUCUUCACCAGGUAGAAGUUAUUUGCAUGUUUGCUAGGCAGAAAUCCACAGCUUGACAAGUAAUUUCAGAGUCUGGGAACGAAGCAGUAGGAGACAAUAGCAGGAAAGGAGCACCCCUAAAGAACCAACUCUUGCAUGUGUGGGCUGCUAGACAGUAUCCCCGUGUGGCGUCAGAAGCCUUCCUUUUGCUUAUCUGCAAGUCUUGGAUGACCUUUUUAAAACAGAGGCAGGCUCUGGAGUUGCAGCGUCACAUUCACAUCCCACCUUCGCCUCUCGCAGGUGGCUGUGGGACUGCCCCUUCUUCCUGCUCUGAGCUGGAUUUCCUCAUCUGAAGAUGAGUGCAGGGGAUGGGCCCGUCAUCGUGCAUACAUCGUAGGUCAGUCUCGAAGAUCGAAUGAAGUCUACAUAUGAAGUGCUUGGCCCAGCCACAACUCAGUAAGUGUCAGGGGUAAUUACAACAACAUUUGAAUAUUAAUGCAGGCAAGUCUCAGCAUCACGAAGA
rnacentral:lncRNA from 1 species